AGGACAUGUUGAACUCCCUCCUGUGCCUCGGGCUGCUCAUGGCAUUUCCGUUGCCAGGCACAAGUAUGACGUGUCGCAAGACUGGCAGAAAGAGAACAUCCCUGGAACGUUCCAGAACAUAGGCGUUUGGGAAGGCAAGAAUUUGCAGGGGGACAGAUACGGACGUGAGAAUGUCUACAGUAACUUCCGGCCCUCCCUGGAGAGCGUGAGCCCCAACACACAGUUCCACAUCCAGCGACCCGAGGUGGUGAAAACGGUGCCCUGAGAGGAACAAGGGUUCCCACCCUUCACAGGACUCUGAAUUAGAUCAUUACAGACAGAGGUGGCCAAGGGUGGCGUGAGGCCAGCCAGGAUCCUGUGGGAGCUGCCGGGAGCUGCUGGGAGCUGCGAGCCCAGAGCCCUCAGCACCCCCACUGCCCCUGUUGGGAGCCUCUGGGCCUGUAGACAGCUCGGCAGCCCUGUUCGUGCAGGGUGACUCCCUACCCCGGAAUUUCCCAAUCAAUAAAAGCAAUUUUUCAAGUGCA